UCAGCUUGGUCUGUGGGGAGAGGGUCACACGGGGGAUUGUGUGCUGUCCACACCCCAGGUACAGGCAGGGGAGCUCUGUCUGCCCACGCUGAGCCAGAGCCGCUCAAUGCUGUGGGCAGGGCCGGGGCGCUGCUGUCGAGAACACACAGCAGCUCUGCAGCGAGGAGGGUCAGCCCGGGUCUCACCUGAGAGCGGCAGGUCAAAGCGUUGAAGAGAUCGAAAAACACAAAACAAGUGAACGUCAUCGUCGUGGUGCGGGGAGUGCUUGCUCUGUCUUCAGGCAUCUGGAAGGUGAGCACAAAGAUGUGAGCUGUGGCAGGAGGGCAGGGACUGCAGUCCCCAGCGUCUGCACUGCACCAGGCCUUGGAGAACAGGCUGGGGUGGCCCUCACUCACCUCCUUCCAGAAGAUAAACAGGGUCCCACUGAUGAUGAUGGCCGCGGACAUGAGGAUCUUCAGGAUGAGGGCUCUGCUGAGGAUGGUGUCCCGCACACUCCGUGGUGGCUGCCUGAAGGCGUCUUUGUCAACGGGCUCUACCCCCAAGCUGCUCCAAACAAGACACAGACACUUUGAAAUGAACCAGGAAUGAAAUAAAGGACCCUUGAAACAGCUGUGCCUGAGCCUCCCAGGCCAAGUUGGCACAGGGGGCAAGGCCAGGCAUUUGCUGAACGCCCCCAGGCAUCGCACCUGCCCUCCUCGGCACCUUCCAGAAGCCCCAGAGCCUGGGUCCAUGGGCAGCUGUGCCCCUGCAUCUGUCCCGCAGACAGUGAAGGAAGACCACCCAGUAAGGCCAACCACACACAGUUCCAUACACCCAGAUGAUCUCCAUCACCCCGAGGGGACCCCCCCCCAACGUUGCACCUGGAGAAACAGGCUCCAGGCUCCGCCCUCCGCAGAGCCCCUCAUCGGCUGAGAGAGACCAGCCUCCAGCCAACUCCACACAGCAGGGUUGAGGCUAGACCAGCAGCGGGCGGUACUGUGGGAGUGGCCGGGUGAGGCCCUGCCGCUCAGACAGAGCUGAGGCCAGCUUCCUGGUCCCACUUCUGCUCCCAGGGAGAGCUGGCAGGAGAGGUAACCCUCACACUUGGCUUUGGGGACACAAAUGAGGACUCUCUUUCUUUCCCUUGGCAGCUGUCACUGGUGAUAACAGCAGCACUGAGCUCCAGCAGAAGCAUUGGCUCUGUGCUCAUACGGUUAUGCACACAUGGCCAGAUGGGUCCCCUGACUCCAAAGCGCAUUCCUUCCCCCAUACCACUUGGCCAGCUUGUUGUGGUGAAGGGGAUAUUAAGUCGCAGAGCGGGUGGACUCCUGAGCACCUACUGAGUGGGAAAAAUACAGCAGGGUGAGGGGAUUGAGUGGGAGUGCAAUCAGGGAAGACUUCCUGAAGGCAGUGACUGGUGACUGGAAUGAAGCAUGAGAAUGAGCCAUGCAGGUUGCCCAGAGAGAGCAUCCAGGCAGAGGGAGCAGAAAGUUCCAUCCUCGCCCAGCUCUGCCGGCCCAGGUACUUUCUCCUCUGCCUUCUACUCCCAGUCUCACUCCAGUGCAACACAUUUCAGUUUUCUGGGAACUCCUGAUGGAAAGUGGCUGUAUUUGUUCAUCCCUAUAGCCUUGGGGCACAGCCAGCAGCCCCUGGAGGAAGCCCCGCAGGUGGGUAAAGAGCCACAGGGCUCCCAGCCGGCCCGGCCUCACCUCUGCGCUGGUGGCCCAUCCAUGAUGAUGUUGAUCCAUAGGAUCUGCAUGGCGUUGAGGGGGCUGGGCAGGUUGAACACGGUGGACAGAGUGAUGAGACUCAGGGCAGAGAUGCUCCUGCGGGGCACACGCAGCCAGUCAGUGGCCGCCUGCCAGUCGUGGUGCUUAAUGACACUCGGAAUGCCGGCCUCUACUUACGUGCUCAGCUGGAAUCGGACAAAGUUUUUGAUGUUGUAAAAAAUCCCCUUGCCUUCCUCCACUGCAUUCCUACAAGAGAAGAGAGCCAUUUACUCACGGAGCGGGCCUGCGGGAGGGCUCGACCAGUGCAUCGGUUGCUGCAAGGGGCAGUGUUGACUCGCCCAGAUUGAUGUUAUACUUGGGCCCCUGCUGGUUCCCCUUGCUGGCAUUCUUGGGGACACAUUUGUAGGAGACGGUGGUGUUCUAACAGGUGCCCCUUGGCCACUGGGAAGUGAUCCUCGAGCCAUGUUCGCCCUUCUGUGCCAAGGGUACACCUGAUGCCUCCAAUUAGACCAUGAAUUACUCUCUGGCCGAGCCCAGGGGGCCCCAUCCCUGCCCAGACUCCCGAAGCGCGCCGUGCAUCUCCGCGAUUUACCAAAGAGGAGAGAGAGACACAGCAAAACCAGUUCGGCCUAAAAAUGAGGUCCGGAGGACGGUAAGGAGGGAGGGAUGGGGAGGCUGAAGGACAUCGCCUGCUUCUGUCUUUAGAAGGCUCUUCGCGGAAGCCCUUUUAAACCUUGACCUGGGGUCACUAAUGUAGAAAAACAAUCUAUGCACCGCGGGUGCCCCCACCGCCAGAUUUUACUAAAAUAUUUUGCAAAAGAACUAUA